GGAGGGUGCGAGCGUUGUUCGGAAUCAUUGGGCGUAAAGCGCGUGUAGGCGGCUUGGUAAGUCGGGUGUGAAAGCCCGGGGCCCAACCCCGGAACUGCACUCGAUACUGCCUCGCUAGAGUCCCGGAGAGGAGAGCGGAAUUCCCGGUGUAGAGGUGAAAUUCGUAGAUAUCGGGAGGAACACCAGUGGCGAAGGCGGCUCUCUGGACGGUGACUGACGCUGAGACGCGAAAGCGUGGGGAGCAAACAGGAUUAGAUACCCUGGUAGUCCACGCCGUAAACGUUGGGUGCUAGGUGUCGCGGGUAUUGACCCCCCUGCGGUGCCGCCCGCUAACGCAUUAAGCACCCCGCCUGGGGAGUACGGUCGCAAGGCUA
rnacentral:rRNA from 1 species